rnacentral:rRNA from 1 species
GCUUGUCUCAAAGAUUAAGCCAUGCAUGUCUAAGUGUAAAUAAGUCUAUACUGUGAAACUGCGAAUGGCUCAUUAAAUCAGUUAUCGUUUAUUUGAUGAUCUCUUACUACUUGGAUAACCGUAGUAAUUCUAGAGCUAAUACAUGCACAAAAUCCCGACUUACGAAGGGAUGUAUUUAUUAGAUACAAACCAACAUCGUGGUGAUUCAUAAUAACUGUGCGGAUCGCUUUUUAAGCGAUAAAUCGAUUGAGUUUCUGCCCUAUCAGCUUUGGAUGGUAGGAUAUGGGCCUACCAUGGCGUUAACGGGUAACGGGGAAUUAGGGUUUGAUUCCGGAGAGGGAGCCUUAGAAACGGCUACCACAUCCAAGGAAGGCAGCAGG